AUUUCUAUCUGGAGAUUGCUCCUCUUGGAGCUCUUCUGUGAGCCUAGGACAUGGCGGAAGUGGCAUUUGUGUAAAUGGGUGUCCUGCUGAAUGUAUACUGAACAUCUUUCAAAUACUGUGCCAUAAGGCAUUUUGCACUUCCUCUACACAACCUGUGUUUACCCUAACUGCUGCCUGCUGAUGCCGGAGAGGAAAGAAGAGAUGUUCAAGAGGAGCCUGGCCAGAAUUCUGCUCAGAACAUAAAGAAUCUUGAAAACUGACAAAGUAACAAUGAAAAGAAGAGAAAGAAGCCUGCUUAAAACUGCAUUAGAGGAAAUACUGUGGAGGUUGAUCUGGGAAUACUCUGAGAGAGAUAAUUAAGAUUUUAAUCUAUUAUUAGGAAGGGCAAGAAAAUUAUUAGGCAGCACAGUAUUGUUUGUUCUUCUUUCCUCAUAGAUUCUUCUUGCUGAUAACUUUCUCAAGGCAAAGACAGUCUCCUGCAAAUGAGUCAGCUAGAUCUUAUUUAUUCCAGGGUGCAUAUCUCACUCUUUGAGGGUGUUCAUUGUGUCAAAUUAGUCCUGUUAGUUCUAGGGAGGUGACACGCUACUUGGAAUUAAAGACCGUGGUCCCAGAAGCAUCAGGCAGAACAUCAGUCAUGAGCUUGCCUGAAGAGCACAAAUCAAACAAGUUUUUUAUUGUCAUGCCUUCAGUUGACCCAUUGGAGGAUGAAGCUCAUACACUUAUCCUCCAGUGUUGCAGUGAGACCAUGCAUAUAGUUAAAGCAGGUCAAUAUGGUACUGUGGAAGUCAAUGUAGCUAGGCAGUUUAAUGAAUAUCUGACCUAGUGUAUGCAGGGGUAAGUGCUUGAAGUUUACAUAUUACACCAUGCUCAGAGGAAAGGCAGUCCAUCUGCUUUCUUUUUAAAGAGGCUUGAAAAAAAAACAGAAGGAAUGGCUGAUGUGUCAAGACAGCAGUGAAGAGAAAUACUUGAAUUGUUGGCAGCCUAGUCAAAGAUUUGGAGUCAUUUUCAAGCUUGUUGCUUAAGGAAGAAAACAAAAAAGCGAAAACAGAAAUGAAAUCCCAACUGGACAUAAAGAAAAACACAUGUACACAUUUAAAAACCACCGAGAAAUCAAACUCCCCACCCCUCCCCAACCUUUUGCUGCACAGCUUUGCUUCAGAAAAUGUUCUGUAAUUUCCUCUAGAAAAUAUUGCAUUACUCUAAGUAGAUAUUACAAUAUCCAGAUAUAAAUAGGGGGAGGCAUAGAGACUACAGCUGAAGAUGAAAAUUUUAUGUGCAUGCUUCUUUAUUCGGAAAAUACUAGUAAAGAAAGGCAAAACAUCGCUUAAUGGGCACAAGAAUAUUUGUUAAAGAUUAUCUCUGCAACAGCUUGGGAUCAAAGGAACAAACCCACAUCUUCCCUUUACCUAUCUAUCUUUUAUCAGUUAUGCCUUCAUAUGUUUUACCAUUUCUUUCCCAAAGGUUAUCUUCUGCUAUGCAACUUUUAUGCUUUUAUUCUUUUUAAUUGAUUUAGCCAGAAGUUAAACAGACACUCAGGCUUCUAGUUGUAGUAGCACUCUGGCAAUUCAGUUCACAUGAAACAUCCCCAAAUGCCAUAUAAAUAGAUAUGCAUUCUCAUUGCAUAAUACAAUUGACAUCUUUAUGUGGAUCUUCUCUAAUUCACAGCUGGAUGAACACAGGUUGCUCAUUAGUCAAUUGGCCAGCAUUUUAUCAGUCAGCUCCUUAAGCACUCACCACUUCAGCUGAGACAGUUAUGCUUCCUACUGUUCAGGCUAGUCCGUGACUCUGUUAAUAUGCAUUCACAAUUCCUUUUUGUGCUUCUGACUCUUUCCUCUGUGAAAGCUUGCUCCUGAUAACAGAAGUGUUCAGCUGUGAUGACCAUAUAGGGUUUGCAUAUAUUGGUUGAAUGCACCAUGUUGGUGCAGGGGUGGGAGUGUAAGAUUGGUAGGUGAAGGAGAAAGUCAGCCCCCUCCCCACACAACCCUCUAAACAUGCAGCAUCCUUCUUGUGUAGCUUCUGUCUAGAGGCUGGGAAACAAGAAAGAGUUAUUCACACCCUUGGUGGUUUUGAAGGGCUGCCGUGAGUGGCUGUGCCACAGGGAGGUCAGCAGAUCACACCAGGCUCCUGUUUAAGACCAUUUGGUUGUGUGCCUUCUCAACACCAAAGCUGCCAGAGAAGUGAUGAAGAGGAUUUCAUAGCAGCAAUGAGGUCUUCUGGACUGGAAAAAGUUCAGAUCUGCUCUUUUGUGUGUUUGUCAUCACACGGCUAAUGUCAAAUAAUGCAAAGUAUCCUUAGCUGGUAGUUCAUGGGGGGAAAAAAAUUACAGAGGCACUAUAACACAG
ensembl:lncRNA